GUUGGGGGUAAGCUUAUACACAGAUUUUCAUUUUUACCAAUUUUUAAACUCUGAAAUUGGAGAGUUGGCUUAUACAUGAAUCGGCUUAUAUUUGAGUGCAUAUGAUAAUUAAUUAUUAAUUUGGCAGGUAAUUCAAAAAUUAUUCACUAGGGGAGUUUGAACUAGUUUAGGGUUAUUUAAUUAAAUAAACUUUAGUGGGGACCACUUCCGGUAUAUAUUCACGUCGGUUCAGGUUCUACAAUUCAAAAAGCGUAAUUUUCCAACAUUUAAAGUAGAAAAAUGAUUAGCUAGCUGGUACAUCACACAUAUGAAAAAUCAUGAAUAGACACACUCCUCAGCCAUUGAAGUAAUAGACAAACUGAACGAAUUAGAACCACUUUGUGAUGAAGUCAUGAAAAUCUACGAUUUUGAAGCUUUAAACCCCACCAUAUAUCUGGAACUAGCAUGCAUUGAAUUAUAUCAUUUAUUUUUAACAUACCUUCUGAAACAAAAAUGUGAUCCAGUAAUCUUGAAGAUUUAUGCUACAUAUUAUUAUAUGAAUCAUAUUUUAAUUACAGUGAAUUAUUUUAUAGACCAAAAUAGGAGAGUACCAAUGGGUAGUCCAUUAUCCCCAAUAAUUGCUGAAUUAAUCGUAAGAAGAAAAGGACAAUCAGCCCUACCUAUAUUAAAUAAUGAGUAAAAAUUUACAAAAGCUAUGUCGACAACAUAUUAAUUAUCAGAGAGAAAAAAAAAAGAAAAUAUGUUGGCUAUUGAACACAUUAUUUCUGAUGUGAACCUGGGACUAAUUUAAAAAAAAAAAAAUCCAACAAAUUAGAAAUAAAUUAUUUUAGUUUUAUAAAACUGGUAAAACUCAUCACAAUAGCAGUUGUGGGAAGGCUUUUUUAAUUGAACAAACGUUUUUGGUGGGAUUGCUUACCAUCAUCGGGCUUACAACUGAAAGAAGUUUCUUUCGGGUAUAAGCCUAAUGAUGGUAGGCGGUCUUGCCGAAGGCGUUUGUUUGGUUGAAAAUGUUUUUCCACAGCUGUUAUUGUAUCAAGUUUUAUUCCUUAUAUAACAAUACUGUAAACAU
rnacentral:lncRNA from 1 species